rnacentral:lncRNA from 1 species
AUUUGCCUCAAUUACACUGAUAGGCUCAACUUUUAUGGUUGUAUGAUGGAUUUUACUGUCUUUUUUUUAUGAAACGAAUGAAUCAUAUGUCUAGUAUGGAUGCAUCUAACAAAAUUAAUAAAUAAAAUAACUCUGAAGAGAGAAGGGAUAGAAGCAAAUUUUGUCCAUAGAGUGUCGCCAGAAUGAUUUGCAUCAUAGAUGCCACCCAGUCUACAGCCCCAUUUGCUUUCCUAUAAAUAUGGGAUGCUUGAAAGAGAGUGCACCUUCUAGUCAGCCUCAAAAUAUCCAAUAUGAGUGGAUGUUUGCUCACUGAUGGAGAGCAUCUUGAAAUCUCUCCAACCACUGUAGCGGAAUCACUUUCAAGGAGGAUAAGGUUAGCUCUUAGAGUGAGAAUAGCAUACCCGAUCCCUUCCCAAGCAGUCCUCAACUCUAUCCCCGGAACAGAAAUAUCAAAAAGCUGUCUCCUCCAGCCUCAAAAAACUGGGAAUCAGGCCCUCUAAUUAUAGAUCCAGCUCCUCCUCUACCACCAUCUUCAGUAACACUACCAUCAAAGUUCACCUUGAGAUAGGUCGGGGUGGGGGCUCCUAGGUAAUAAAUUCCACUCUAAAUGCAUAAAGAGAUAGGGGAGGCCCGUGUGUCCCUUGUUAUCUCUAGUUCUCCUAUAAUAGUGCACUGAGUGAUCUCUGUAGCUUGUAUGAUUGCCUUUUCUAAUAUCAAUCUCGAAGACAGAGACUCAAUUCUCAAAAACCCAUCUAUUCCUUGUAUUCCAGAUGUGAUAAACAAUAUAUGCUGCUUGAAUGCAUUUGAUCUUAGUGCCCUCAUCAUUUCCGUUUGUCUUCAAAUAAAGCAAAAGAGCUUCAGUCGGGCCUGGUGUCGUGAAAACUACAGAUGGAAUAUCAGAUAAUUGCCAAACCUACAAUGCUUUCAGGCAGUGAAAGAGAACAUGAUCUACAGUCUCCUGCACUCCCUCACAAGAGUCAUAGAUAGGGAUAUUCAAACCCCUUCUACCAAAACACCACUACACGGAAUGCGAUCCUAUGCAAGCUUCCAUAGAAAUAAUGCCACUUGAGGAUGUUUCCAAAUCUUCCAUAGCCAUGAACAAUUCUUCCUACUUUCUGGGACUGCAUUGAAGAGUUUAUAAAGCUCACUGGCCUUGACUUAGGAAGUACAAGUAAAACCCCGCACCAACCUGUCGGGCAUGUCACUAUUAGGCACUGCAAUUGAUAGAAUUCUAUCAGCUAAGCCCUCUCCAAACAACUGCAUGAGAGAGACGUUCCACCUCCUCUUGUCAAGACAAAUCAGAUCUCUAAGCUUAAGAUCCCUCAUAGUAUAUUGGUUGUUGAUCAUGGUCAGCCACAAGGCCAAUGGAAGUGGAGAAAUCCAAGCAUCAUCCAUUACAUCUAUUGAGUGACCAUCACCUAUCAUCCAGCAAAUAUUAGAUAAAGACAAGUGGGGCAUGUGAGCAUACCUCUUUCCAAAUGAAGGAACUGCUGCGGGAAGGAAGAGGCUAGUUUUGCUAUCUUUUAGAUCAUGCUUUUGGUUCCACUGGCAAUUCUGAGUCAGCCAUUUCUGACAAAUAUGGGAUGCACAAUGAAUGCCAUGAACUCCAGAUGCUUUAUCCGGUAAACAAAAGUUCCUUGGUGAAUCUGAUAUUUAUGUCAAUAUGGAUAAAUAUCAUUCUUUACAAUUUGGUGUCAAUAUCAUCCAUGCAUGAGUGGCAUAUUGCUAGCACUUUUUUUUAAGAAAAAUAAAUAUUCUGUAGUUAACUGAACUGCAGUUUUUAGAAAAACUUUAGGAAAUUACUGUGUUAGUCAUCAUUUCAAGCUCCAUUGUGUCACUGGUAGUGGUCUACAAACUGCUUUAUCUGCAGACAAGUAAUAUGAAUUUUACAGUAGCACUUGUCGUCAGCCUUUGUUAUUGAUAUCUGUUUUCAGCUAAUAUGUGAAUCUUAAAGGUCUGAUGUAUUGGUUUUCUUCUGUAGAUUCAUUUUUGGUUCAUUACAUCUGACAGCCAUCAACAUGAGUUGAGGAGCAUAGCUUCUGUAACUGAAGGCUGUGUAGGAAAUUUGCAACAAGAAUAGGAGAGGCUGAGAAUUUGCUUGCAAAUAAUGUUAUUGUACGCGCCAUAGCAAUGUGGAUGUAAUUUAAAUUAAGUUUUACAUAUUCAAGGCUGAGGAGGCUUUUUAUUUUUCACUAAGCUCCGAAUAAACACAUUUAAGCAGGUUUUUAUUAUCUAUUUUUGUCUGAGUUCUAACAACAGUUGAUUUUCCAGGCCUCCCCACUUUUCCCUUUUUGAUGGUUAUUUUCCAGGCCAUGUUUGUGAAUGUUUAAAGCUGCAUGAUUGUUCGUUUGGGUCGUCAUUUGCCCACUGCAUGCUUUCUGACGGUUGAGUUGAUCAGCUACCCCAUCUUUCCUGAAGGGAACAGAGAGCUGUCCAUAUUAGAUGGCUGUCCAUCUCAAGCUUUGGUGAAGUAUUAAUCUUGCUCUAACAAUUUGGCACAUAUUAACUGAAUGAUUCACCAUGGUUUCUGAUGACCCAAAGAUUGAUUUAAAGAUUGAUUUUGAUGAUCACAAAACCUUGAAGUAUAAAUACUAAUGUUUGUGUUGCAAGAAGAAAGAUAUUUAUUUUGCAAGGAACAUAGCAUGUUGGAAGAACACAAGAAGGCCUCCAAAGCUCUCAAGAAAAGUUGGAAGAAAGCUACAAUUUAUUGGCCCAAGUUCCAAGUUCAAAUGAUUCAAGUUGGAGAAGCAAAUUCAAAGAAAAAUUUAAAAGAAUAGUCCUCGAGUCGACUCCUGAAGAAUUCGAGUCGACUCCGAUGCUUGCCGAGUCGACUCCAGAGUAGAACGAGUCGACUCCAGAGAGUAACAGACAAAAAAACAGAGAAGCUAUUUUGGACCCUGAGAGCCGAGUCGACUCCUGAAGAACUCGAGUCGACUCCGAUGGCUUGGCAGGUCGACUCCUAAGGAAGCUAGAGUCGACUCCCAGAGAAAAACAAGCAAAAAGUCAGAGAGCCAAUUUCA